UACGAAGGGGGGCUAGCGUUGCUCGGAAUCACUGGGCGUAAAGGGUGCGUAGGCGGGUCUUUAAGUCAGGGGUGAAAUCCUGGAGCUCAACUCCAGAACUGCCUUUGAUACUGAAGAUCUUGAGUUUCGGGAGAGGUGAGUGGAACUGCGAGUGUAGAGGUGAAAUUCGUAGAUAUUCGCAAGAACACCAGUGGCGAAGGCGGCUCACUGGCCCGAUACUGACGCUGAGGCACGAAAGCGUGGGGAGCAAACAGG
rnacentral:rRNA from 1 species